AAAAAAGGCUUAUCCCGUUUCCCAAUACGCAAUUUUAGCCGAAUCGUGACGCAAAACACGGCUUGUCUCGAAUCCCGCUAAAAUAAGGGUGUCUAUCCCGAAUCCCGACAGUUAUUUUCGGCCCAUCCCAGUGUCCCGAAAAUACCCGUUCUCCCCCUCAUACAUAGUAGACCAUAUUGUCACAUUGAUGUUUUCUUUCAUUACAGUUAGACUUCGAGAUCUACAUUUUCGACAAAGGUCUGGUGUAAUAUUACGUACUUGAUGAAGGUUUAAUGACACGAAUGAGUACAAGUACAUUACAUUUUUCGACGAAGGCCUUCUGUAAUUUCAUACGCUUCUUACGCAACAUUCAAUAGAUUUAUUUACUGUAUUAUCAUUUCGACCAAGGCGAAUUCGACACUUCAAUUACACAAGCACAAUCAAACUUAGUCAUUCCAGUCAGUUACUGAAGCACAGCGAAAACUGUCUGAAUUAGUGCUGCUGAUGGCAUGUAAUUACUCUACUACCACUACCAGUGACAGUCAAUGUCCAUAUAUUUUCAAGUGUGCUAAAUUAGUACUCGUCUACUUCUUAGUGUUGAAUGCAAUGUAUGUUAUAAAAAUAUUUUUUCAACACUAUAUCAACAUUCUCAUUCCUGUCAGUUUCUGAAAAUCAGCUAAAGCAAUCGCUACCAAUGCAGCUGAUAACAGCAAUUCUUUUUGUUCCCAAUGCCCAUCCAUGACAAUAUAUUUCACGCAUGUGACAAUCAUGGUAUCAUCCUGUUUUUUGUGUUCUAUUCAUGCAAUAAAUAAAUUCAGUAUUUUCAAAUCAUUGGUGCUACAAAACUAUUCUCAUUAUAGAUUAUUCAUAUUUUAUAAAAUGCUGUCAUGUCAAAUUUUGUGUCCUAUAAAUCAUUAUGAAGUCGGCAUUUUAUAUACAACUUUUGUACUCCUAAAUAAACAUACAAAUCUUGUUUUAUGUAAACUUUGUAUAUGUGACCCGUCACAGCAAAACCAGGCGCAUGUCGCUCUGAGCUUGGCAGGUUGAGACGGACUGUUUGUUCAUUUAUCUAUUGUCUGCCUUUUGUAAAAUAUGAGCACAUCAAUUUCUUCCAUUAUCUCCUGGUGUCAUUUAGGCUCAUCUUCUGUGCGACAUGUACCUGGUUUUGCUGUGACGGGUCACAUAUUCUAUAGAUAUACAACACUCUAAUGUCACAAUGCCUCUCUCACUCGCUUUUAUAGAGCAAGAUGUAUGAAUAAACAUGACACACCAACUAUGUACAAAAUUGCUAACAAACUGCACCAUUUGUCAGUACACCACAUGAAAUACAGAGAUAUGUCUUAAUUCUAAUCUUUCAUUAGCGACACCAUUUCUUACCCGAGUGCCUCCUUCAUUCAUACAUCUUGUACUUUAACUCGAGAUACCCAUCUUUGAAUAUUUUUAGUAUACCAAGUACUACAAUGUCAAUGUAUUGAAGUCAUGUUCUUGUAGUGUUAUUGGCUUUCUAUUAUCUUGUCAAAAUACCACUUGGUUCUCGCAAAAUCUCAAUAAAAACAAAUGCUAUUGCAUGUAUUGCAUAUUCUAACAGCUAUCCACUGUAUCGAUUUAUCCAUCAUCUGUACUAUUUGUCACAAAAAUGUUAUAUUAUGUAAAUCAUAUUUCAUUACAUAAUGCACACUGCCAAUUACUGCUGAACCAUUCAUAUGUCAUUUAAAUAAAUAAUUUUCAACUUUUUAAAACCGUCUUAUAGUACUGUUCUUGUCACUUAGCUGAACCUAUUGCUCUAUAGCAUGAAAUUUCCAGAAAUG